GACGGGGUUUCACCAUGUUAGCCAGGAUGGUCUCGAUCUCCUGACCUCAUGAUCCACCCAUCUCAGCUUCCCAAAGUGCUGGGAUUACAGGCUUGAGCCACCACGCCCGGCUAGGCCUCAAGGAUUUUUAAGCUGGUCAACCAGAGGUUGGAGGUGGAGGUGAGGCAGGGCCCACCCUCUUUAAAGAUACAUGCUAAAUAUUUAUAUGCAGGCAGACUGCAUUGCUAGCUGGGAUUUGCUUUGAAACACUGCAGGCCGGGGAGGGGUCUUGAUGAAACGCGAUUGGCUGUGAGGUGAUCAGUGUUGAAACUGAGUGAUGGAUACUUGGGUGUUCAUGCCCUUCUCCUGGUGCCUGUGUAUGACGUUUUCCAAACCUGAAAAAAAAUUGAAGUCCCCUGGCAAUGCCGGGCACCAAGCAAAUGGGCACUUUUGCUGAGACCCUCGUGCUCCUCAGUCCCCCACCCCCCACUCUUGGGCACAGACCCCCAGGAUCGAGAUUGGGGGACGCCUCUCAGGCUCUCCCUUGCUGGGGGUUGUCUUGACCGCAGAGACCCUGCAGAAUUACCUGAAGGUGGUGAUGGCCCUCAAGUACGAGGAGAAGCCGCCCUACGCCAUGCUGAGGAACAACCUAGAAGCUCUGCUGCAGGAUCUGCGUGUGUCCCCAUAUGACCCCAUUGGCCUCCCGAUGGUGCCCUAGGUGGAAUCCAGAACUUUCCAUUUGCAGUGUGCAACAGAAAAAGAAAAAAAAAAAUGAAGCAAUGUGACUCAAGGCCUGCCGUUUAAUCACCGAGAAGCUUCUAGAACAAGCCCUGGAAUGUGCAUUCCUGCCACUGGUUUCGGGAUACUCAUCAGUCCUGAUUAGCCUCAGGGAGGCCCCCAGUUUCCCUCCAGUGAAUGUGAAGUUCCCCGUCUGGGUGGCCUGCCCUUCAGCCAGUGUCCUAGCAAAGCUGGAUGGGGUAGGGCCGGCCCCCAGGGGGGACCCCUGCUACCCUUGACACCUCUGUGCUUUGGUAAUAAAUUUUUUACCAGAGCUUAA